UGACCCUUCUUAAGCCGAGGGUCACCUAGCCAACUGACGUUGUUAGUGAAUGAUACCUUGUUCACACAAAUAUAUAGCCAAUCACAGUUUUUGUGGUUGGUUUUUUUUUG
rnacentral:sRNA from 1 species